rnacentral:rRNA from 1 species
GAUGAACGCUGGCGGCGUGCCUAACACAUGCAAGUCGAGCGAGAUCUUCUGGAACGAAACUUCGGUCCAGCGAAGGAAGUGGAAGCGGCGGACGGGUGAGUAACGCGUAGGCAACCUGCCCCAUACAGAGGGAUAGCCUCGGGAAACCGGGAUUAAAACCUCAUAACGCGAUCUGGUCACAUGGCCGGAUCGCCAAAGAUUUAUCGGUAUGGGAUGGGCCUGCGUCUGAUUAGCUAGUUGGUGAGGUAACGGCUCACCAAGGCGACGAUCAGUAGCCGACCGGAGAGGGUAAUCGGCCACAUUGGAACUGAGACACGGUCCAAACUCCUACGGGAGGCAGCAGUGGGGAAUAUUGCACAAUGGGCGAAAGCCUGAUGCAGCAACGCCGCGUGAGUGAUGAAGGCCUUUGGGUCGUAAAGCUCUGUCCUAAGGGAAGAAGCAAAUGACGGUACCUUAGGAGGAAGCCCCGGCUAACUACGUGCCAGCAGCCGCCGUAAAAC